GGGGAAUAUUGGACAAUGGGGGGAACCCUGAUCCAGCCAUGCCGCGUGUGUGAAGAAGGCCUUAUGGUUGUAAAGCACUUUAAGCGAGGAGGAGGCUCUUUUGGUUAAUACCCGGUUGUUCUGACGGUACCCAAAGAAUAAGCACCGGCUAACUCUGUGCCAGCAGCCGCGGUAAUACAGAGGGUGCGAGCGUUAAUCGGAUUUACUGGGCGUAAAGCGUGCGUAGGCGGCUUUUUAAGUCGGAUGUGAAAUCCCCGAGCUUAACUUGGGAAUUGCAUUCGAUACUGGGAAGCUAGAGUAUGGGAGAGGAUGGUAGAAUUCCAGGUGUAGCGGUGAAAUGCGUAGAGAUCUGGAGGAAUACCGAUGGCGAAGGCAGCCAUCUGGCCUAAUACUGACGCUGAGGUACGAAAGCAUGGGGAGCAAACA
rnacentral:rRNA from 1 species